GAUGAACGCUGGCGGCGUGCCUAAUACAUGCAAGUCGAGCGAACAGACGAGGAGCUUGCUCCUCUGACGUUAGCGGCGGACGGGUGAGUAACACGUGGAUAACCUACCUAUAAGACUGGGAUAACUUCGGGAAACCGGAGCUAUUACCGGAUAAUAUAUUGAACCGCAUGGUUCAAUAGUGAAAGACGGUUUUGCUGUCACUUAUAGAUGGAUCUGCGCCGCAUUAGCUAGUUGGUAAGGUAACGGCUUACCAAGGCAACGAUGCGUAGCCGACCUGAGAGGGUGGUCGGCCACACGGGAGCUGGGACACGGUCCAGACGCCUACGGGAGGCAGCAGUAGGGAAUCUGCCGCAAAGGGCGAAAGCCUGACGGAGCAACGCCGCGUGAGUGAUGAAGGUCUUCGGAUCGUAAAACUCUGUUAUUAGGGAAGAACAAAUGUGUAAGUAACUAUGCACGGCUUGACGGUACCUAAUCAGAAAGCCACGGCUAACUACGUG
rnacentral:rRNA from 1 species